CCUCACGUUCCGGACAGAAUAAUUUCAUCUCUGCAGGGGGAGGAGGGAUCGGGCCGGUCGCCGGCGUAAUGGCUGAGGAAGAGAAAGUGGUGCAAUACUUUUCUAGGGAUUUCGAAUGGGAGGAGCUCCGAGAUGAGGUCGAGCGGAACCCUAAGUUUAGCUACCAUCUGUCCUCCUUCUCCCCUUCUCUUUCCUCGCCAUCUCCAGUGGACGCCGACGCCGACGCCUGGAGAAACUUCCACCGCCGCCAUUCCACUGGGACAUUUUUUAAGGAAAGGCGAUACCUUUUAAAGGAAUUUCCUGAACUUAUUGUUUUUGAUGGUUCCAUCCGAGUUUUAGAAGUGGGUUGCGGGAAUGGGAGCACAGCUCUCCCAAUCUUAAGAGCAAAACAGAAUAUCAUUGUCUAUGCUUGUGACUGCAGUCAAGACGCCCUUGAUAAAACAGUAGAAAUGAUUGCUACUUCCAACUUCCCUUCAAUCAGUCAUCGAUUUUAUCCAUUUCUCCAUGAUUUUUCUGCUAAUAGAUUCCCAAAUUGGUUUCUAUGCUCUGCUUGUAAAAAGUGUCCACAUAAAAAAGAUUUCAUCUUUACGCCAGAUGCAAAUGGAGAAGGCUUGAUUAGAAUAAACGAGCCUGCCGCAUGCUGCAUUGGUGGAAUUGACUAUGUAACCCUAAUAUUCACUCUGUCAGCAGUACCAUUUCAAAGGAUGUCAUAUAUACUCGCAGAGUUGUUGACUGUUUUAAAACCAGGGGGUCUGCUUCUGUUCAGAGAUUAUGGGCUGUUUGACAUGACAAUGCUUCGAUUUCGACCAGAACAAAGAGUGGGCUUUAGGGAGUACAUGCGGUCAGAUGGUACUCUUUCCUAUUUCUUUUCUCUGGAUAUUGUGAGAAACCUUUUUCUUGGCGCUGGAUUCAUUGAGUUGGAGCUUGAAUACUGUUGUGUGAUUUCUGUGAAUCGUCGUAGUGGUAAGAAGAUGCAAAGGGUGUGGGUUCAUGGGAAAUUCCAGAAGCCCACUGUUGGCACAUCAUGAUUGUCUUCCUCAGGGAAGCGGUACACUGCAAACUGCAAACUACAAACAGCUAAUUCGAGCUAAACGCAUCUAACGAUCUUCAAAAUUAUCAAAGCCAAGAACUACUCCGCCUGAAGAUCUAUGGGUUUUUGCCAUGCCAAACUUAUUUUGCUUGUGAGUCUUUUCCUUAUAUUUCCAAACUAGAAUUUCUUUUAUAGAAAUUUAUACUAUUAAGCCUUAAGAUUUCUAAACAUGGUUGAUCAUUGAUAGAUGUUUCUUUUGGAGCCUUUAAGUUCAUUUAUUCCAUUGAUUCAGUUGUUUUUGCCAAGUAACAUAAGCUGUAAAGUUGUCAAAACAUUAUAGAAAAAUGCUUGCUUAGCUAGUAGUUAGAAUUUUUAAAUAUUAGAAAUGACUUUUUUUU